AGAGUUUGAUCAUGGCUCAGAUUGAACGCUGGCGGCAGGCCUAACACAUGCAAGUCGAGCGGUAGCACAGAGAGCUUGCUCUCGGGUGACGAGCGGCGGACGGGUGAGUAAUGUCUGGGAAACUGCCUGAUGGAGGGGGAUAACUACUGGAAACGGUAGCUAAUACCGCAUAAUGUCGCAAGACCAAAGUGGGGGACCUUCGGGCCUCAUGCCAUCAGAUGUGCCCAGAUGGGAUUAGCUUGUAGGUGGGGUAACGGCUCACCUAGGCGACGAUCCCUAGCUGGUCUGAGAGGAUGACCAGCCACACUGGAACUGAGACACGGUCCAGACUCCUACGGGAGGCAGCAGUGGGGAAUAUUGCACAAUGGGCGCAAGCCUGAUGCAGCCAUGCCGCGUGUGUGAAGAAGGCCUUCGGGUUGUAAAGCACUUUCAGCGGGGAGGAAGGCGUUGAGGUUAAUAACCUUGUCGAUUGACGUUACCCGCAGAAGAAGCACCGGCUAACUCCGUGCCAGCAGCCGCGGUAAUACGGAGGGUGCAAGCGUUAAUCGGAAUUACUGGGCGUAAAGCGCACGCAGGCGGUCUGUCAAGUCGGAUGUGAAAUCCCCGGGCUUAACCUGGGAACUGCAUUCGAAACUGGCAGGCUAGAGUCUUGUAGAGGGGGGUAGAAUUCCAGGUGUAGCGGUGAAAUGCGUAGAGAUCUGGAGGAAUACCGGUGGCGAAGGCGGCCCCCUGGACAAAGACUGACGCUCAGGUGCGAAAGCGUGGGGAGCAAACAGGAUUAGAUACCCUGGUAGUCCACGCCGUAAACGAUGUCGAUUUGGAGGUUGUGCCCUUGAGGCGUGGCUUCCGGAGCUAACGCGUUAAAUCGACCGCCUGGGGAGUACGGCCGCAAGGUUAAAACUCAAAUGAAUUGACGGGGGCCCGCACAAGCGGUGGAGCAUGUGGUUUAAUUCGAUGCAACGCGAAGAACCUUACCUGGUCUUGACAUCCACAGAACUUAGCAGAGAUGCUUUGGUGCCUUCGGGAACUGUGAGACAGGUGCUGCAUGGCUGUCGUCAGCUCGUGUUGUGAAAUGUUGGGUUAAGUCCCGCAACGAGCGCAACCCUUAUCCUUUGUUGCCAGCGGUCCGGCCGGGAACUCAAAGGAGACUGCCAGUGAUAAACUGGAGGAAGGUGGGGAUGACGUCAAGUCAUCAUGGCCCUUACGACCAGGGCUACACACGUGCUACAAUGGCAUAUACAAAGAGAAGCGACCUCGCGAGAGCAAGCGGACCUCAUAAAGUAUGUCGUAGUCCGGAUUGGAGUCUGCAACUCGACUCCAUGAAGUCGGAAUCGCUAGUAAUCGUAGAUCAGAAUGCUACGGUGAAUACGUUCCCGGGCCUUGUACACACCGCCCGUCACACCAUGGGAGUGGGUUGCAAAAGAAGUAGGUAGCUUAACCUUCGGGAGGGCGCUUACCACUUUGUGAUUCAUGACUGGGGUGAAGUCGUAACAAGGUAACCGUAGGGGAACCUGCGGUUGGAUCACCU
rnacentral:rRNA from 1 species